AUACGGAGGAUGCGAGCGUUAUCCGGAUUUAUUGGGUUUAAAGAGUGCGCAGGCGGGCGAUUAAGUCAGCGGUGAAAGGCUCGGGCUCAACCGGAGCAGUGCCGUUGAUACUGGUUGUCUUGAAUGCGGUCAAGGCCGGCGGAAUGUGGCGUGUAGCGGGGAAAUGCAUAGAUAUGCCACAGAACACCGAUAGCGAAGGCAGCUGGCCGGGCCUGCAUUGACGCUGAGGCACGAAAGCGUGGGGAUCGAACAGGAUUAGAUACCCUGGUAGUCCACGCUGUAAACGAUGGACACUCGUUGUCGGCGACAGACAGUCGGCGGCCAAGCGAAAGUGAUAAGUGUCCCACCUGGGGAGUACGGUCGCAAGGCUGAAACUCAAAUGAAUUGACGGGG
rnacentral:rRNA from 1 species